rnacentral:rRNA from 1 species
GUAGGGAAUAUUGCGCAAUGGACGAAAGUCUGACGCAGCGACGCCGCGUGAGUGAUGAAGGCCUUAGGGUCGUAAAGCUCUGUUGAAUGGGAAGAAAAAAAUGACGGUACCAUUCGAGGAAGGACCGGCUAACUUCGUGCCAGCAGCCGCGGUAAUACGAGGGGUCCUAGCGUUGUUCGGAAUCAUUGGGCGUAAAGGGUGUGUAGGUGGCCAUGUAAGUCAGGUGUGAAAGCCCCGGGCUCAACCCGGGAAGUGCACUUGAUACUGCGUGGCUUGAGUACCGAAGAGGGUAGUGGAAUUCCAGGUGUAGUGGUGAAAUACGUAGAUAUCUGGAGGAUCACCGGUGGCGAAGGCGGCUACCUGGUCGAGUACUGACACUGAGACACGAAAGCAUGGGGAUCAAACAGGAUUAGAUACCCUGGUAGUCC